GUUAUGCAUCCACUCCAAUGUAACUUUAAUCCUCCGUCUUAUUUAAAAAUUGUUUACAAUUAGUAUUUUUUUGGUUGUUAUGAGAUGAUAAAACAUGAAUAGUACUUUAUGUGUGAUUUAUGUUUUUAAUUUUUUAAAAAAGUUUUAAAUAAGAUGGACGAUCAAAGUUGAGCACUUAAAAUGGGACGGGGUGAGC
rnacentral:pre_miRNA from 1 species